rnacentral:lncRNA from 1 species
CUCGCGCUAGCGUCUCCAAGUCGCCAUCGUCGGGUGCGGAAACCUCCACAAUCCAUAUGUCCCCACCGAGACCCAUUAGUGCCAUGGGAGCUGCCGCCGUCGUUCGUCGCCAUUGUCGUCUCCUAACCUCCGUGGUGUGGACCCAGGCGUCCUAAACGGAGGGUAGAUCAUGCGCAAGGGCUUAACCGGGCGUGGUGACCUGUAGUGCGGCGGGGAUUUCUCGCCGUUGUUGUAAGCCAUCGUGGAUCCGCGCAUCUUCGUGGGCAGGGCACUACACUGCGAAAUUAACGGUAUGGACCCCUUCCCCGUACUCGCGCUCAUCUCUAUCACGUGUAGCACAGACCCCCUUCGAGGAUAGUACGAUCGGGCCUCCGCGAGGAUCUAGCCGGCCAUGGUGUCGCCGCUUCCGGGUGUUCACGCUCACGAUUAGCGACAGUCAUCGAUCGGGGCACGGACGGUUGUGGUCAGAGCGCAGAUAACGUUUCGGGUUGGAAUAACGUGCAACCGUAGAUUUCAAUCGGACGGUUCAUAACCGAUCAAGGGCGGGUGAAUGAGUAACCGUUAGAUCUAGAUCCUAGGGUUUACAUCGUGUACCGGUUCGUGCUCUAAUCUGAACCACAGAUCGGGGAUUGAAUGGCUCUGGUGCAAUCACAUUCGAUCGACCAGCCACUUUUAGAAUAGGGCCCCUGGCAUUUUUUAUUAUUAACCCGCCGUCCACGUGUAUGUAAAGUAAUUGCAUGAAGGACCUAGUUUCUUAUAAGAUAGCCCCUGGUCUUCCACAUUUUUGUGCGCGCGAUCCAAUUAAUUUUGUUUUAAUAUUGUUUAUCACCUGGUAACUCUGUUUAGCCACGAAACAUAGAUUAAAAAUUAUUCACUCGAUCCAUUCUAUACCAAGCACCUAAUAACUUCAGAAAUUCAUAACUCGAUAACCGUAACUCCGAAUUUAGCAAUUCUUGUUCCUAUGAUCUCAUUACGAUGCGUAGAAUAUUAUCAUGCAUUAUGUUCUACUACCUAGUGUGAUGUUAAUUUCUGUAUAUCAUGUCUGUUUGUAUUGUUGCGAGUAGACGAGCAAGCCACUGAGGACCCAGAUGUUCAGCAGGUGGAGACUGCUGAGGAGGAGCUCGUUGAAGGCAAGUUGUGCCCUUGAUCACUUCUAUUUACCCAAUAAUGUUCCUUUUAAUCAUUAUGAUCUGCAUAGGUUAAUUUUGAAGGGACCCAAUAGGUUACCCUAGUUUGACUAUCUUUAUACCUUGUUUACCACUGAACUUUUGGGUAGUACCUGCUAUUGCUUUAUGUGGUUUUGGGUAUGGAGAUACACAUUAUUCAUGAUCAGGCUUUUAUUAUCAAUUUAUUAUUUACUAUUCAUGAUAAGAUCGUAUUGUUAAUUGAAAGUCGCCUAGAGGGGGGUGAAUAGGUGAAACCUGAAAUUUAUAAACUUAAACUUGCACUAAGGCCGGGGUUAGCGUUAGAAUUAAAUCCGAGUGCGGAAAAUUGUUUCUCUUGCUAAGAGUUGCUCAAUAUAUGCAGAUGUCGUUUGGUAGCAAACUCAAAUCAAUACUAGCAAGGAAACGUUAGAGAGAGGAAAUAGGGAAAACAAAUCAAAUGGAAAUCAACACAAGUGAACAUGGUGAUUUGUUUUACCGAGGUUCAGUUCCAAAGAACCUAGUCCCCGUUGAGGAGGCCACAAAGGCCAGGUCUAUUUCAACCCUUUCCCUCUCUCAACGGUCACUUAGACCGGAUGAGCCUUUUCCUUAAUCACACAGGUCACUAAGACCCUACAAGGACCACCACACACUUAGGUGUCUCUUGCUUAGCUUUACAAAGCACUUAAGAAUUAGAAUAGGAAAGGAAGAAGGCAAUCCAAGCAACAAGAGCGCAAAUGAACACAAGUGAUCCUCUCUCAAGUCUCUAAGCACUAGAGUUGAUUUUGAAAACUUGGAGUGGAUUGAAUGCUUUGAAUGUGUCUUUGAGUGGUUGGCUUUGCUCUUGUAUUGAUUGGGAAGUUCAGAAUACUUGGAUGGCUUUGAAUGAGGUGGUUGGGGGGUAUUUAUAGCCUCCAACCACUUCCUAACCGUUGGUUGUUUUUGCUGGUGAUGGGCACACCGGACAGUCCGGUGGCGCACCGUACAGUCACUGUUCACUAUCCGGUGCACGCCACGUCAGCGCGCUCGUUGGGGGCUUGGAGCUGUUGACUGUUGGAACCCUUUGUCCUUUUGCUGCACCGGACAGUUCGGUGCCACACCGGACAUGUCCGGUGACCUCUGACUUCUGCGCGGCACUAUUCACUAUUGUCCCCUUUUUGCAGUCGACCGUUGACGCGCAGUGAUCGUUGCGUUGCUGGCUCACCGGACAUGUGCGGUGCACACCGGACAGUCUGGUGAAUUAUAGUGGAACGUGACUGGUGAAUUCCCGAGAGUGGCCUAUUCGUUGGGUGCCCGACCUGGUGCACCAGACAAUGUCCGGUGCGCCACUUGGCAACACACUCAUGUCUUGCUCCAAAUUUGAUUGUGUCACUAACUGAAUUUCUUUCUUGGUUUGUGUUGAACCUUAUGCACCUGAGGUAAAUGAUAUCUAGACAAACUAGUUAGUCCAUAUGAUUUGUGUUGGACGUCAACCACCAAAAUCGAUUAUACGAAAUGAUUAAGUCCAUUUUCCUUUCAUUAAUUGGAACAUGGAGAACCACCCAGGAAAACAGUGCUACCACAUGGGUGGUAUGGGACGCCCUUGGCUGACUAAUUAGAAAAGCUAGUGGAUGACUACCUUACCCGAAAGGGUCAAGGGCAGUAGGGGAGUGGUCGGUGUAGGGAGGUCCUUGGGUUGAUUUUGCUGCGAUGGCGGUCAAACGAGGGAUCCCUGCAUUAGGGCUUCCUAGAAACUGUAGCGGGUUUUCUGAAGCUAGUAGAACUUUGUAAAGGCCAUGUAGUGUUACCUUGCCUCGCUUCCUUGGUAGAGGUGUAUGGUAAGUUAUGAUCCCUUGGAAAAUGGGUAACAUGACUUGUGGGUAAAGAUGUGCAACCUCUGCAGAGUGUAAAACUGGUAUAUCAGCCGUGCUCACGGUCAUAAGCGGCUCGGACACUCACAUUAUUAAUUUAUGGAAUUAAAUUCAAUUUUUCAUUUGCAUCGCAUUGUGGUUUAUUAUUAAUUUGAUCUAUUAUUACUCUGGUUUGGGUAUUUACUUAUAUUUAGUAACUGCUAAUAAAACUUGACCACUUAUUAAAAGCAAUGCUCAGAUUUAACCAUUAUUUGUUGAUCAGCCUUACACUUUACAUGAGCUCCACCUUUGGUGAGUUCAUGCACAUUAUUCCCCACAACUUGUUGAGCUAUGAUCUUUUGUGAGCUCACUCUUGCGAUAUAUAACCCCCCCACAGGUGAAGAGCAGGUGGUCCAAGAGGAGCCCUAUAAUGAGGGGUACGAGUUAAUCUAGGUGGCGUCUCCCAGUUAGCUUGAUGGCGCAAAGGAAUAAUUAUUUAGUUCAUUUUAGUGUCAUCAUCUAUUUUUGUAAGACUUCCGCUAUGUAAUAAUGAUACUUGUGACAUUUAUCUCUAUACACUUUGUCAUUAUAUGUGAUGUUCUUCUUUGGCGCACAUAUGAGACGCACCCGGCUUUAUCCCUUAAAUCCAGGUGUGACACAUAAGACCACCAAAAAUAAACUUUUGCACCGUUUUACACUGUAAAUUGUAUUGUUUGUAUAGU